rnacentral:lncRNA from 1 species
GGAAGCCACACAAGAGCGAUCCAAUGUCUCAUCUCCGCCCUCAAUCAUGGCCUCCGCUGAUGCCAAAGUAAACCCAUUCAGCUUCAGGAGGCUUUUCAGCAAACAAAGCAUAAUUUGUACGACGGAUCUGUGUGUUACAGUAGAGGAUCACGGGCAUUUGAAAUGACACAACUGGAAGCUAAAUCCAACAGCAGGGGAGACCCUUACCAAGGCGAGGUAUGAUGCUCCACUUGGUCUCACUGCCUCCCGUCUCUGCUCCAUCCAAUCUAUCUUCCAGUCCAGAAGUGAAGGUUUUGUGCCAAAAUGCAUUCACCCAUCCAAACAUUCAAUAAAUAUCUACUAAGUACCCACUAAAGGUUAGGUGUGCGUGAAGCCCUGGUGGCAAAGAAAUAAACAGACCCGACCUCUUCCCUCAAACAGCUAGUGAACAGUGCAAACCAUGGCAUGGUUUGAAAAAUGAGCAUGAGGACUGCCCAGGGUCCCUUUGGGAAAUGCUGAACAGAGUGUGCAUGGCACAUUCAACAGUUCCUUGGAGCAUGGAGUACCCACGGGCAAGAGUGGGAGAGAAAGCGAGGAGGCAGGCAAAGGCCAGGGCAGGAAGGCCCCAAAAGGCCAUGUGGACCUCACCACGUGAUUUCUGUUUAGAAACUUUCAAUGGUGCCCCAUUCCAAACCCUUAAGUAUGGCCUCUGUGCGUCCUGGUGUAGCCCCCAAGCUACAUUUCUGAUCCAUUCUCAACUCCUAGUACUGUGCUACACCCAUCUACACCUCACUCCUCAAAGACUCGAAGUAAACUCAUGCUCUUGGCCUGAUUCAAAUAAUUCCCUUAGGCCACUCUGGACCCCAAACCGUCUCCUCCACAUCUCGGCCUGCUGAAACCGGACUUACCGUUUCUUCAGUAUAAUACUGCAGCCACUAACCAGUAGGAAUUAAGCAUGGUCCUACCUUCAAGGAGGUUAGACUCUUGUGGAAGAAAAGGAUAAGUUUAGUUAACUAUCGUGUAACUAUAAAAGACAUGGUGAUGAUAUGUGAUAGGUGUUUCCAAAAAAUCACUUCACUGUAGUAACAAUACAGUGGGAAAUGAGUUGUCGGACUUUGCAAGGAAUGUUUCAAGAAUAAAAGCAUUUAAACUGAUCCUUGCCAGUUAAAUAGGGUCCAACCAAUCACAACAGACACUAAUACCAGCUGAUUGUUACCUUUCCAUCUCUUGCUGUACCUCGUUAACAAUAGAAUCUCAAAAAAUGCCUGCUGAAUAAACCAUACAUAUGCAUAAUAAACUCCAAAAGAAAGUA